rnacentral:misc_RNA from 1 species
GCAAACCAGCUGAUAAAAGCCAUGGCUGUAGCAGCUUCAAACCUAGAGCAGUGGUUCAUAGAACACUUAUCGAGAUCAUUGCCAAUUAGGACUGUGAUACCAGCAGAUGCACUGGCCGCUGCAAAUAUAAGGGUUGAUGUAAUCCCAUCACCAAUGGCAAAAAGUCGAACAAUUACUCGUUUCCUGAGACUUCUUCUCACCAAAAGAGCAUAAGCAUCCACAAUAGCCAAGGACAAGCUCCAUGAUAUUUGCAAGCUAACAGCAAUGACCAGGUAGCAAAAAGCUGUGACAGAGCGGAAGUCACUGGUGGUGGCCAUGACGCAGACAGAGACAAGACCGAACAAGAACUGAAGAAGACGAAGCGCGAGGCCACCGUGAGUCCCUGGCAUGCCUUGGACGUCCUUCAUACUCAUUCUCGGCCUGUUCAGAGGCCCAUCGUUCAACGGCGGUGCCUCCACCGGAUGCACCGUUGGCCUACUCCCAUUCAUCAUCUAUUAUUCCCAGUAUCUAUACACCGAUCAUAGACACAAAACAAGAAGAGAUACAAGAGUAUGGGGAAUGGGUUUGUAUAGAAGGGAAAUCGAAUUGGAUUAAAUUCUAGUCAUGGGUUUUUGAUGAAAUGAUGAUCGAUCAAUGAAUUGAGGAUUUUUUUUUUUCCUUUUUCACUAAGUAACAAGUGAAUAUUUCUCAGUGGACUGCCUUUUUCUC